rnacentral:rRNA from 1 species
GACGAACGCUGGCGGCGUGCUUAACACAUGCAAGUCGAACGGAAAGGCCCUGCUUUUGUGGGGUGCUCGAGUGGCGAACGGGUGAGUAACACGUGAGUAACCUGCCCUUGACUUUGGGAUAACUUCAGGAAACUGGGGCUAAUACCGGAUAGGAGCUCCUGCUGCGUGGUGGGGGUUGGAAAGUUUCGGCGGUUGGGGCUGGACUCGAGGCUUAUCAGCUUGUUGGGCGGGUAGUUGCUUACCAAGGCUUUGACGGGUAGCCUGCCUGAGAGGUUGAACGGGCACAUGGGGACUGCGAUAGGCACCAGACUCGUACGGGAGGCAGUAGUCGGGAAUAUGGCACAGCGGGCGGACGCCUGAGGUAGCAGCCCCGCGUGCGGGAUGCCGGCUUUUGGGGGGAAAACAGCUUUCGACUGUGACGAAGCGAGCGUGACGGUACUGGGUAAAGAAGCACCGGCUAACUACGUG